AGAGUUUGAUCCUGGCUCAGAUUGAACGCUGGCGGCAUGCCUUACACAUGCAAGUCGAACGGCAGCACGGGUGCUUGCACCUGGUGGCGAGUGGCGAACGGGUGAGUAAUAUAUCGGAACGUACCUUAUCGUGGGGGAUAACGCAGCGAAAGCUGCGCUAAUACCGCAUACGCCCUGAGGGGGAAAGCGGGGGACCGUAAGGCCUCGCGCGAUUAGAGCGGCCGAUAUCUGAUUAGCUUGUUGGUGGGGUAAAAGCCCACCAAGGCGACGAUCAGUAGCUGGUCUGAGAGGACGAUCAGCCACACUGGGACUGAGACACGGUCCAGACUCCUACGGGAGGCAGCAGUGGGGAAUUUUGGACAAUGGGGGCAACCCUGAUCCAGCAAUGCCGCGUGAGUGAAGAAGGCCUUCGGGUUGAAAAGCUCUUUUGUCAGGGAAGAAACAGCAGCUCUAACACAGUCUGCGAAUGACGGUACCUGAAGAAUAAGCACCGGCUAACUACGUGCCAACAGCCGUGGUAAUACGUAGGGUGCAAGCGUUAAUCGGAAUUACUGGGCGUAUAGCGUGCGCAGGCGGUUAUACAAGACAGGC
rnacentral:rRNA from 1 species